AGCGGGUGUGGUGUUAAUGGCUAGCACAAUAGCCUUCCAAGCUAUUGGUACGGGUUCGAAUCCCGUCACCCGCUCCAU
rnacentral:tRNA from 1 species